rnacentral:tRNA from 2 species
GGGCUCGUAGCUCAGCUAGGUAGAGCAAUCGGCUCUUAACCGAUGGGCCGAGGGUUCGAAUCCCUCCGAGCCCGCCA